rnacentral:rRNA from 1 species
UACGAAGGGGGCUAGCGUUGUUCGGAAUUACUGGGCGUAAAGCGUUUGUAGGCGGUUGAACAAGUCAGUGGUGAAAGCCCAGGGCUUAACCCUGGAAUUGCCAUUGAAACUGUUCAGCUAGAGAGUGUUAGAGGAAAGUGGAAUUCCUAGUGUAGGAGUGAAAUGCGUAGAUAUGCGGAGGAACACCGAUGGCGAAGGCAAUCCCCUGGGCCUGUACUGACGCUCAUGCACGAAAGCGUGGGGAGCAAACAGG